rnacentral:misc_RNA from 1 species
CAAAUCAACAAAUUCGGUAAGCAGAUUCCGUACGAUGAAUUUCCUUGUAUACUGAAUGAUGUAAUUUAAUCGGAGUUAAUUAGAAAUUCACGAUAGACAGUCACGUUGAAUUGUGGAUAAAUCAUAACUGAAACAUCUAAUUAUACAAUCGGUUUAAUUACAUUAUCAUGGAUGCAACAUUCGUGUAAAUGAUAUAAUGAAUUAGGAGUACACAUAAACCGCGCGAGGAUAAAUAUUCCGCGCCAAUUUGGAAUCGCUGAAGAGAGCUCGCGUUCAUAAGUGGCAAUGAUUUCCAGUAGGAAUGCAUCUGUUGCAUUUGGUCGAUCUGGAUUAAAUCAAUACGACGCAACAGUAGCCAAACAGAGGCGUUAUUUAUUUUGCAUCCUCCACCGUAUUUUUCUUUCAGCAUCGUCACCGAUGGUCACUCCGGCGGAUUAGCCACGCCAGGAAUUUCUAGAAUCGACCAGAUUACGACUACGCAGCGCCGCGUUUCUUGUUGCGUUUGCGAAUCCACUUGGAAUUCAAUUAGAAUUCCUAUGCGUGAAUAUAAUUCUGCAAGUGUCGAAUCAUCUACCACGCAGAAAUGGAUCCUGUCGGUAUACAGCUGCUACUGGAGGUCCGUUUGAUCGAUUACGAUAAAAAGACGGACUUUUAAUAAAAUUAUAGAGCCAGGAACAGGAUCCAUUGAAAGGAGAAGAUCUUCGUUCAACAAGCUUCGAGCAUCUUCUUCAGGUUAUCCGAAAUUUUACCACCCUUCCUUCUGUCACCAAGUUAUGAUUGACCCUGUUCCAUCCAAACGAAUAAAAUGGGCGCCCCGCAAUCACUGUCAUCUUCAUAACCCACAUGCUUCAGCUACGAAACGAUAGUGGGUUGUCCAGAUUUGCCGCUUAUUUACCAAUCGUUAUGCCAUCCUGUCUGGUUUGGUUAAGUAGGAAGCAAAUAGGGAUACCCUAAGCGGGUUUGGCGUUUCGUUGAAAUUGCUAUAAAGGUAUACACGGUACAGUCUGGUCUCCGUGCCAACGCAAAAGGAAAAUACAGCAUGAAAGGAAAAUACAUUGGUCGAUGAAUGUCCCGAGGGAAGAGGAAUAAGACCCGUCGACGCAAAAUCUUAAUGGAUUUCGUGUCUAUCUCAAAGAAAGCUUCUAAUAAUCGAAUAUACUAAAUACCACUAACAUUAUGAGAUAUCUGAACGUGUUUCAGUGUUUAUAAAAAAAGAAAACAUUUGAUACUUUAUUUUAUGUGCUCAGCAGUUCUAAAGUAUAUAGACUUUAUAAGUAUAUAGACUAGGUAUAUAGACUAAGUAUAUAGACUAGUAUAUAGAUAUAAAAUGUAUUUUAAUCAAAGAGUUAUUUAAAUGAACCUGCAAGCUUUUUAUUCUUUAUAAUUGCCAUAACUGCGUAUAAUAGAAUAUUACGAUACAAUUACAUUGACAUUUAGAAACCAAUAUGGAAUAAUUAAUAUAAAUUAUUAAUAAUUAUAUAUAAUGAUUAAUGGAAUUAUUAAUUGCAUAUCUGCUACUAUUUUGUAAUUACGUAUCUUCAGAUUUUCCAAUUUGCAAUAUAAACUAAAUUCAAGAGCAAACUGGGUAUAUCCAAGCUUAAUUUUCCCCUCCGUUUAAAUUUUUUAAAUAUUUGAAAAAUUUCUAAUUAUCGAUAUCUCGUUUACACUUCAUUAUACUAUACGCCCAUGAAAUGAAAGGUUUGAAGUUUUCCCAAUAGAA